CUACGUAGGUGACAAGCGUUAUCCGGAUUUACUGGGCGUAAAGGGCGUGUAGGCGGUCUUGCAAGUCAGAAGUGAAAUUCCUGAGCUCAACUCGGGCGCUGCUUCUGAAACUGCAGGACUUGAGUGCUGGAGGGGAUAGCGGAAUUCCUAGUGGAGCGGUAAAAUGCGCAGAUAUUAGGAAGAACACCGGUGGCGAAGGCGGCUAUCUGGACAGUAACUGACGCUGAGGCGCGAAAGCGUGGGGAGCAAACAGGAUUAGAUCCCCUGGUAGUCCACGCCGUAAACGAUGAAUACUAGGUGUAGGGGGUAUCGACUCCCUCUGUGCCGCAGUUAACACGAUAAGUAUUCCGCCUGGGGAGUACGGCCGCAAGGUUGAAACUCAAAUGAAUUGACGGGG
rnacentral:rRNA from 1 species